rnacentral:rRNA from 1 species
CGUAAAGAACCUGCCUCAUAGACUGGGACAACUAUUGGAAACGAUAGCUAAUAUCGGAUAACAGCAUUAACUGCAUGGUUGAUGUUUAAAAGUUGGUUUUGCUAACACUAUGAGAUGGCCUUGCGGUGCAUUAGCUAGUUGGUGGGGUAAAGGCCUACCAAGGCGACGAUGCAUAGCCGACCUGAGAGGGUGAUCGGCCACACUGGGACUGAGACACGGCCCAG